AAGUCGAACGAUAUUGAAGGGCUUGCUCUUCAAGAAAGUGGCGCACGGGUGCGUAACGCGUAUGCAACCUACCUUAAUCAGGGGGAUAGCCCGAAGAAAUUCGGAUUAACACCGCAUAAAAUCACAGUACAGCAUUGUACAAUGAUCAAAUAUUUAUAGGAUUAAGAUGGGCAUGCGUGUCAUUAGUUAGUUGGCGGGGUAACGGCCCACCAAGACCACGAUGACUAGGGGAUCUGAGAGGAUGACCCCCCACACUGGUACUGAGACACGGACCAGACUCCUACGGGAGGCAGCAGUAAGGAAUAUUGGUCAAUGGAGGCAACUCUGAACCAGCCAUGCCGCGUGCAGGAAGACAGCCCUCUGGGUCGUAAACUGCUUUUAUUCGGGAAUAAACCUACUUACGUGUAAGUAGCUGAAUGUACCGAAGGAAUAAGGAUCGGCUAACUCCGUGCCAGCAGCCGCGGUAAUACGGAGGAUCCAAGCGUUAUCCGGAUUUAUUGGGUUUAAAGGGUGCGUAGGCGGCUUAUUAAGUCAGGGGUGAAAGACGGUGGCUCAACCAUCGCAGUGCCCUUGAUACUGAUGAGCUUGAAUACACUAGAGGUAGGCGGAAUGUGACAAGUAGCGGUGAAAUGCAUAGAUAUGUCACAGAACACCGAUUGCGAAGGCAGCUUACUAUGGUGUUAUUGACGCUGAGGCACGAAAGCGUGGGGAUCAAACAGGAUUAGAUACCCUGGUAGUCCACGCCCUAAACGAUGAAUACUCGCUGUUAGCGAUACACAGUUAGCGGCUAAGCGAAAGCGUUAAGUAUUCCACCUGGGGAGUACGCCCGCAAGGGUGAAACUCAAAGGAAUUGACGGGGGCCCGCACAAGCGGAGGAGCAUGUGGUUUAAUUCGAUGAUACGCGAGGAACCUUACCCGGGCUUGAAAGUUAGUGAAUGAUCUAGAGAUAGAUCAGUGAGCAAUCACACGAAACUAGGUGCUGCAUGGCUGUCGUCAGCUCGUGCCGUGAGGUGUUGGGUUAAGUCCCGCAACGAGCGCAACCCCUAUGUUUAGUUGCCAGCACGUUAAGGUGGGGACUCUAAACAGACUGCCUGUGCAAACAGAGAGGAAGGAGGGGACGACGUCAAGUCAUCAUGGCCCUUACGUCCGGGGCUACACACGUGCUACAAUGGAUGGUACAGAGGGCAGCAAGCUGGCAACAGCAAGCAAAUCUCAAAAAGCCAUUCACAGUUCGGAUAGAGGUCUGCAACUCGACCUCUUGAAGUUGGAUUCGCUAGUAAUCGCGUA
rnacentral:rRNA from 1 species